rnacentral:rRNA from 1 species
GACGAACGCUGGCGGCGUGCUUAACACAUGCAAGUCGAACGGAAAGGCCCUGCUUAUGUGGGGUGCUCGAGUGGCGAACGGGUGAGUAACACGUGAGUAACCUGCCCUUGACUUUGGGAUAACUUCAGGAAACUGGGGCUAAUACCGGAUAGGAGCUCCUGCUGCAUGGUGGGGGUUGGAAAGUUUCGGCGGUUGGGGAUGGACUCGCGGCUUAUCAGCUUGUUGGUGGGGUAGUGGCUUACCAAGGCUUUGACGGGUAGCCGGCCUGAGAGGGUGACCGGCCACAUUGGGACUGAGAUACGGCCCAGACUCCUACGGGAGGCAGCAGUGGGGAAUAUUGCACAAUGGGCGGAAGCCUGAUGCAGCAACGCCGCGUGCGGGAUGACGGCCUUCGGGUUGUAAACCGCUUUCGCCUGUGGCGAAGCGUGAGUGACGGUAAUGGGUAAAGAAGCACCGGCUAACUACGUG